rnacentral:rRNA from 1 species
GGGUUGUGAGGUUAAGCGACUAAGCGUACACGGUGGAUGCCCUGGCAGUCAGAGGCGAUGAAGGGCGUGCUAAUCUGCGAUAAGCGCCGGUAAGGUGAUAUGAACCGUUAUAACCGGCGAUACCCGAAUGGGGAAACCCAGUGUGAUUCGUCACACUAUCAUUAACUGAAUCCAUAGGUUAAUGAGGCGAACCGGGGGAACUGAAACAUCUAAGUACCCCGAGGAAAAGAAAUCAACCGAGAUUCCCCCAGUAGCGGCGAGCGAACGGGGAGGAGCCCAGAGCCUGAAUCAGCAUGUGUGUUAGUGGAAGCGUCUGGAAAGGCGCGCGAUACAGGGUGACAGCCCCGUACACAAAAGCGUAUGUGCUGUGAGCUCGAUGAGUAGGGCGGGACACGUGGUAUCCUGUCUGAAUAUGGGGGGACCAUCCUCCAAGGCUAAAUACUCCUGACUGACCGAUAGUGAACCAGUACCGUGAGGGAAAGGCGAAAAGAACCCCGGCGAGGGGAGUGAAAAAGAACCUGAAACCGUGUACGUACAAGCAGUGGGAGCACAGGUUUACCUGUGUGACUGCGUACCUUUUGUAUAAUGGGUCAGCGACUUAUAUUCUGUAGCAAGGUUAACCGUAUAGGGGAGCCG